rnacentral:rRNA from 1 species
CCUACGGGCGGCAGCAGUGAGGAAUCUUUCACAAUGGGCGAAAGCCUGAUGGAGCAACGUCGCGUGCAGGAUGAAGGCCUUCGGGUUGUAAACUGCUUUUAUAAGCGAGAAAUAUGAUGGUACCUUAUGAAUAAGGAUCGUCUAACUACGUGCCAGCAGCCGCGGUUAUACGUAGGAGCCGAGCAUUAUCCGGAGUGACUGGGUGUGAAGAGUUGCGUAGGGGGCAAAAUAAGUAGCUAGGGAAAUCUGGGGGCUCAACCAUUCGGACUAUUAGCUAAACUGUUAAGCUCGAGAGCGUUAGGGGUAACUGGAAUUUGUAGUGUAGGAGUGAAAUGCGUAGAUAUUAGAAAGAACACCGAUAGCGUAGGCAGGUUACUGGGACGGUUCUGACACUAAGGCACGAAGGCGUAGGGAGCAAACGGGAUUAGAUACCCUGGUAGUC